AGUAUUUGCUCAAAGUUGUAUUCCGCUUGUGAGUGACGUCACUCUGAAUUAGCCAGCUAUGUAGGACUGUGAGGCCAGUGUCUGACCACUCAGGCUGAGGCAGAGGCAUCGAACCCUGCUGUGUGCCUUUGAUUGCUUGACCUGACUUGGCUACCCACCCUUCUGUUUAGAACUUUUGCCUUGUUGGAAUACUUGGGCUUGUGUGGUCAUAGUUUUGUGCCCUCAGACCCAGUUCUAACAGUAAAUGACUUAAAAAUAAAUACACGGACACAUUACUGAACAUGCUAAGACUCACGCUAAGUGAGAUUUUUCAACAUGGUUUUUAAAACUGAUGUUUCAUGGUGAAGAAUUUAUAUGGCAUUUGUCCCUGGUUGCUGGCAAGGACUCUCUUGAGUUUGGGACUUCCCAAGUGACAAGAGCAUCUUUGUCACCAAGUCUUCCAGAUAUGGACAAAACUUGUGUUCCUAAACUCGCCUGCAAAAUAAUCAAGGCAGCCUUGAAGACAAGAACAGAGUAGGGGAGUCGCACUUCAGAAGCCAGCGCUUACUGUAAAGCUACAGUCACACCACACUGAGGUAGUUCUAUAAAGACAGGCAUUAGAAAGGCA